CUUGUGUCAACUAGCCACAUCUAGGCAAAAUAUUGUGACAUCUACGUAAGUGCCUACGUACAGCGUGUUGACAUUCUGCAAGGUACUUCGUGUGUAUAAAACCUGGAAUAGUGUUAAUUAGCUAUCAGUUCUUCAUCAGUUGUGGAUUCAGAAGCCAGUCAUACAAACAUGAAAUACUUCUUUGUUCUGACAGCUAUAUUAGCAGUGUUCAUGCUGCACACAAAUGCACAAAGAUGCGAUUGUCCCGACGACUUCGUGCCUGUCUGCGCCAGAGACAUGCGGACGUACCCUAAUGAAUGCACGAUGGUCUGCGCGAGGCAGCAGAAGUUGUAUGACGGAGAGUGCAGAAGACAGUCGCCCAUCAAAUAACAUUCUUUAACUCAAGAAGAACAUUACCUAAUAAGAAAUUAUAAUCAUUUCUAUUCUCUUCAGACCACCUAAUAGUUUUAGUAAACAAAUGCGAAUGAGAUACCUUCAAACCUUAAAGAAAAGAGCGUAUUCUUUUGUCUAUUGAGUUACAGCUAACAAUAUUUUUAUUGAUAUUUAGUUAUCUAUAUUAUCUUUCAUAAGCCGCCGUACUCAUAGUCAUUUAAUGUCUAAUUCUUAACCCAGCCCUUAGCAAAUAUCUUCGGAACAAAAUCGUUGCUAAGGAAUUGUUUAACGAAUUAUGAAAUAUCUCUGAGUAUGACAGAAAGAUAACUUUACCAUGUUUAGUGAUAUUUAUAUUUAAUUUAUUUUUUUUAUGAUUUAAGCCGGUAAACGAGCAUAGGGUUCACCACAUGGUAAGCAAUGAGUGUCGUCCAUGGAUACCUAAAACACCAGAGGCGUUACAAGAGUGUUACCGGCAUUUUGGAAAUUGGGAAUAUGAGGAUUG